rnacentral:rRNA from 1 species
GACGAACGCUGGCGGCGUGCUUAACACAUGCAAGUCGAACGGAAAGGCCCUGCUUGCAGGGUGCUCGAGUGGCGAACGGGUGAGUAACACGUGGGUGAUCUGCCCCUUACUUUGGGAUAAGCCUGGGAAACUGGGUCUAAUACUGGAUAGGACCAUGCUGUAGGUGGUGUGGUGGAAAGAUUAGUUUCGGUAAGGGAUGAGCUCGCGGCCUAUCAGCUUGUUGGUGGGGUAAUGGCCUACCAAGGCGUCGACGGGUAGCCGGCCUGAGAGGGUGGACGGCCACAUUGGGACUGAGAGACGGCCCAGACUCCUACGGGAGGCAGCAGUGGGGAAUAUUGCACAAUGGGCGCAAGCCUGAUGCAGCGACGCCGCGUGGGGGAUGACGGCCUUCGGGUUGUAAGCUCCUUUCAGCCAUGACGAAGCCCUUGUGGUGACGGUAGUGGUAGAAGAAGCACCGGCUAACUACGUG